UUAUGCUUGAGCGGGGUUCAAAUCCAGAACCUCACGUAUCCAAGCGAAGGGUAAAAUUUAAAGACAAAAAAUAUGAGGGGUAAAAUUUAAAGACCACCCCAAAAGACGGGCAAUCCGUGCAAAAAAAUGAAGUAAAUGCUUUUAUUUUCUUUUCUUUCUUUGCGUUUAGAAAGUAGGGGGAGAAAUCUGAGAUUAUUUCUCUUCUAAUUCUAUUUAACAGGUGGUUCAGAAAAUAAGGUUGAAAAUAGAGUUAUAAAAUGAGAUUCAUAGAACCUGUUUAGAUGGGCUCAUGUGUAUAAGCUGUUUGCUAAAAAAAUAAGUUGGGGUAGUUUAACUUAUUAUUUUUUAGCUUAUAAGCUGCUUUAGAUAAGCUAAGUCAAAUGAGUCCAAUUAUUUUUUUGAGCUUAUUUUAAGCACAAAAUGAUUUUAAGCUGACCAGCCAAACACUCAAAAAAGCUGAAAAUAGCUUAUGAGCAACUUAUAAGCCAAUCCAAACGGGCUCACAGUCUUGUGUUAAUUUACUGUUGUCUUGAUAAUUCCUCCGUUAUAAUUUUUCAUUAUCUCUUUUCGGUUUAACCAGCUGGUGUUUCGUUUUUGAUAGAUAAGUGUCAUUUCAUUACUGAACUAAACGUAUUGUCGCAUCAACGGAAUUUGUCAAUUUGAGACCGAAACUAGCGAUAACAGUUGAAUUAAAGUCCAGAUAAUUGAUACGUGCCCAAUUUGCAUAACCAAACAACGGUUAGCUAAUAGCUACAUAAACGUCAAAAAAGCAACGACCAACUCCAUUUUAAAUUUUGAAAAAAAUAAGGUAACAAUGAAGAAACGGGAAAGAACAUAAGGACAAGCAAUCAUGUUUUACAUGUUGGCAACUGGCAAGUGGGGAAGGAAUUUUCAUUAAUUGGAAGUGGUCCACAUUCUGUUUUUUACACUAUAACAACUUAAUACUAUCUGUAUUCAUAACGUGCAGCGAAUCUUAACCUUACAGCUGUCCUUUAUUAACGGCUAAAGAACAGUUUUUUAUUUUAUUUUUUAUUGAGUCCUGUUCAAAUUGGGAAGAAAUCUAAUUUGACAGAGUGGAUACUGAGUGGAGAUCCUUUACAAUCACAUUUUCAAAUAAAGGCAAAUAGUGAUUGAGGACUCCCUUCAUCUCUCGCCUCCUUUUUAUAUACCAAGUUUUUUGGGAGUAAAUCUUAGAGCUUUGGCAUUUUUAGAGAUACAAAAUAGUAGAGAGAAAAAAAAAAAAAAAAAAAGGGGUCUCAAGAAACAAGAAAAAUGGAGGUCUUGAGACUCUGCUUAAUGGCUAUUUUUGGUUUGGUUAUGGCAUUGGCUGUUCCUUCUAUCAAUGCUCAAGUCCCUACGCCUGCUCCUGCCCCUACAAGUGAUGGAGUUGCAAUUGACCAAGGUAUAGCCUAUGUGCUAAUGUUGGUUGCUUUGGCAAUUACUUACAUGCUUCACUGAGCAAUGUGUACAGCGUCCAUUGCGGCUUUUCUUUCUAAUUCUUUUUCAUUUCAUCUGGUUGUGAUUCAUCUAAAAAAUGGUAGUCAUGAAUUGACCAUGUUUUAAAAUUUCAUUCUCUUGUAGUCUUUUGGAGGUUGAACUUCUCUGUUUCUUUCAUUCAAUGAUUAAGUAGAAAUUCUUUAAA